UGGUAGAUGCCAAGUGCUACAAAAGCUGGCAGUGGCUGGUCCUGUCGACGGGGAAUCGAAUGGGAAUACUCGAGCGCUCGUCCAGGUUUGUCUUUCUUGACAUUCAUUUGACCCAUUGUAACAGCUCGUGCCUAUUAGUUUAGAUACAAGAGGAGGCCCAGAAACGUUGGUAGUGGUAAGCUUUUCAGAGUUACGAAGGAUCGGUUGCCUGAUGAUCACUUCCAGUUCGUCAACAGGUAAGUUACAUUAUGAAAUGACAAUGGAGAACUUUGGUGACGCCUCUCUUCUCUUCUUCUCAGCUCAACACAACGAUCAGGCGCAAGAUCGACCAAUCUAGAAUCUCCAAAAUCCGCAAAUGGGUUCUUCCAAGGACGAAGCGCCGAGAAUGCGGGGGAUGGUAUCGUCAUGUAUUUUCCAAAGACAUCCUGCCAUAUGGUUUAAGUACACGGUAUGUUAUUUUAUUAUCGGAGCCCGGUUGCUGAGAUCAUGGCUAUCAG
rnacentral:lncRNA from 1 species